CCUACGGGAGGCAGCAGUGAGGAAUAUUGGUCAAUGGACGAGAGUCUGAACCAGCCAAGUAGCGUGAAGGAUGACUGCCCUAUGGGUUGUAAACUUCUUUUAUAAAGGAAUAAAACGAGGCACGUGUGCCUUUUUGCAUGUACUUUAUGCAUAAGGAUCGGCUAACUCCGUGCCAGCAGCCGCGGUAAUACGGAGGAUCCGAGCGUUAUCCGGAUUUAGUUGGUUUAACGGGGGCGUAGAUGGGUUGUUAAGUCAGUUGUGAAAGUUUGCGGCUCAACCGUAAAAUUGCAAUUGAUACUGGCAGUCGUGAGUACAGUUGAGGUAGGCGGAAUUCGUGGUGUAGCGGUGAAAUGAUUAGAUAUCACGAAGAACCCCGAUUGCGAAGGCAGCUUACUAAACUGUGACUGACAUUGAUGCUCGAAAGUGUGGGUAUCAAACAGGAUUAGAUACCCGAGUAGUC
rnacentral:rRNA from 1 species